CCCACCCCACCAACGCCAUCCUCUACUAUUCUCUCUUUUUUUUCUCCCCCUCUCCUUUUCCUCCUCACCGCGGCUGCUCGCCGGCGCGCGCGCGCCCUAGCCGCCGCUCACCCACACCCUAGCUGCCGCUCACCCACGCCGGCCAGCGCUGCUCGCCUGUGCCGCUCGCCCGCGCCGGCCGAGCCGGCCGCGGCGGCCGCCCUCGCUCCAUCGGGCGCGGCGCCGGGGCGAAGCGCGCUGCAGAUCCGGCCGCUGGAGAUCCACGCGCCGGUGCGACGCGCAGAGGCAAGCACCGACGCGCCAAACCCUAGAGAUCUGGGCCCGGUGGCGUCGACCUGGCGCGGGCACAACAUCGCCGCCUCUCUUCGCGUGGCCGGAGAUGGCUUCCCCACUCACGCCCAUGCUACACUCAGCCUCCUCUCUCCCCGGUGGCUGCCACCUCCCCAACCCCACGUCCACGCCUCCUUUCCCCGCCUAUUGCCGCCUCUCCUCGCACCCUCCACUGCCUGCUGCUCCGUGCCGGGGAAGCCGCCUACGGACGGCGAGGGCGCCAGCCCGGCUGUGCGGCAGGCGGAGCUGCCGGCGAGCGGCGAGGCGCCGUGCUAGGGAGCAGCAGGGCGGAGCCCAAGCUAUCGAGGGACUGCAGCACUAGCUUGUUGGCCGCCAGGCAGCAGACCAACAUGGUGGGUUCGUUGAAGGGGACUUCGAUACAUAUGUCUCUCAGCUUAGAAAGCCACAUGUUUGGGGAGCUGAAGGCCACAUCUUACAGUCAACGUGUGCUGCCAAAGUCAGCUCAAAAUGGGGUAGUUUCGUAAGACCUUUCAGUGCAAAAGCAGCUGGAAAUGAGAUUAUUGGAAUUGAUUUGGGAACUACUAACUCAUGUCUUUCUAUUAUGGAUGAAAAGGUGAGGUCCCCGAGUAAAGACUGUCCCUGUCCUUUUUUCCCUGUCGCUCUCAUUUAUCUAGCUGAAUCGUCAAUCAAGUGACUGCAGAACCCAAGGGUCAUAAUAAAAGAGAUAAAAUAUGUGUUAAGCCUUACAAUUCACCUUGACCAUUUAUCUUUGCAAGUUACAUGCUUUCAACUGUUUAUUACUUGGAUUAUCAGGAUAUAUAUUAUCUUUUGAUUGGUAACAACAUUAAUUGUUUUAAGCUUUGGCACUAUGCUAUUGUGAAUUUUUUGUUUAUAAAAGAAAGUAAUGUAUUUAUAUGAAAACACGGUGUAUGUAUUUUGUGUUGAGUUUUGUCAUGCUGAUUUAGGCAAGUCAAAUGUUCAGGUAAGUGCUAAUCAGAUCUACCAAGUACUAUAUCAGAAGUUUGUGUCAAUUGCUUCUGAUGUCACAUUCUGAGAUCAUGUUUUAUUUGUUCAGUAGAGUUUGGAUUCCCAAAUUCUGAAGACAAGAGUUCUUGUUUGCGAAGGCUGAAUACAAGAGUUCAGACUCACAGAAGCUGCUCUAAUUUGGUUUCUGGACCAAAUGUGUUCGAUUUCAUAAAUAUGUAUGGCCUCCACAAGCUUAAUACGUAGCAACUGGCAAAGCUCUUUAGCCUUGGUUUUAGUUACUGCUGGAUGGAAAUUUACUUUUACCUUUUUAGCAUUGCUGCUCAACUAAAUGGCUGUUUCAACAGCAAUUUCAUAUUCAGUUCCCAUCAAGGGAUCAAUACUUCUUCCAAGCAACUCAGUUCCUGAAUUAUGAGCACUGCUGGACUCUGGUGUGCUAUUGUAGUGUCUUCUGUUCUCUUAAUAUUCAGAAUGUGCCUCGGCAACUUGUUUGAGCUUAUGAUAAUGCUCAAACAUUACAUGCUACCUUAUGAGUUAUGAUCAAUAUACUGCCAAUGGCAGUGCUACUUCUUUGAUUUGAUAUUUCUUAUAGGAGUAAGUUGUCACUCCAUGUUUAUAUUAAGUCAUUGCAGAAGUUACAAUGUUACUGCACACAAUUGAAGGGGUAACUGAUGUUAUUUACUUCUUUUCAGGUUGCAAAGAGGAGAGAGAAGUUGCUGAAUUACAUGCUGUUCCUUAGAGUCACUCCAACACUUCCGAAUACUUUCAUCAAUUUUGCUGUUCUUGAUCGGGCUUGUUUUGGUGACGCCAACAUUGCUGGGCAAGAAAGAGGCGCACAACAGAGCACCAGAAGGCACUGCAGCUAGCACCAACUGAUCGCUUGCACGCCACCCCAGCGCCCUCCUUCCCUGUACAUACUGAGGCUCAGCGCAUGGUGGUGGCUCCAUGACUUCAGAUCAAAUGGAACCUGUCACUAGCCACGAACAUGACGAGGGUCCCAGCACUGUCUCCACUUUUGGGAAAACUUUUGUGCUGAUAUUGUGAAGGGGAUGUACAUAUCAUGGAUUCAUGGUCGCCUCAUGCUGGACUGCUUUCGAUUCUGGUGUUUAACUGAUUCACUGAUUACUGUAUCUUGCACACUUUAACCUGAGUCAAUCAAUACAGCUGAUUGAAUGAUCAUGAACAUCUGUUAUCUU